UUGUGUGGGUUGUAGACUCCGUCUCAUGCUACCACAAGAAUGAAAGCACCGCCAGCAUUCAAAAGUGACCAAAACAUCAGCCAGGAAGCAUACGAACUGAGAAGUGGUCUGUGGUUACCACCUGCAGAGAACCACUCCUUUAUUGGGGGUGUCUUGCUAAUUGCCUAUAAUUUCCACCUGUUGUCUAUUCCAUUUGCACAACAGCAUGUGAAAUGUAUUGUCAAUCAGUGUUGCUUCCUAAGUGGACAGUUUGAUUCACAGAAGUGUGAUUGACUUGGAGUUACAUUGUGUUGUUUAAGUGUUCCCUUUAUUUUUUUGAGCAGUGUAUAUAGCAUUUACAUAAGUAUUCAGACCCAUUACUCAGGACUUUGCACUUACAGAUUCCAGUAUUCUUUGGUAUGACACUAGAAGUUUGGCACACCUGUAUUUGGGGAGUUUCUCCCAUUCUUCUCUGCAGAUCCUCUCAAGCUCUUUCAGGUUGGAUGGGGAGCAUUGCUGCACAGCUAUUUUCAGGUCUCUCCAGAGAUGUUUGAUCAGGUAAAAGUCUGAGCUCUGGUUGAGCCACUCAAGGACAUUCAGAGACUUGUCCCAAAGCCACUCCUGCAUUGUCUUGGCUGUGUGCUUAGGGUCGUUGUCCUGUUGGAAGGUGAAUCUUCGCCCCAGUCUGCGAUUCUGAGCGCUCUGGAGCAGGUUUUCAUCAAGGAUCUUUCUGUACUUUGCUCCCUUCAUCUUUCCCUCGAUCCUGACUUGUCUCUGCCGCUGAAAAACAUCCCCACUGCAUGAUACUGCCAUCACCAUGCUUCACCGUACGGAUGGUACCAGGUUUCCUCCAGACGUGAUGCUUGGUAUUCAGGCCAAAAGUUAAAUCUUAGAUUCAUCAGACCAGAGAAUCUUGUUUCUCAUGGUCUGAGUCCUUUAGUAGCCUUUUGGCAAACUCUAAGUGGGCUGUCAUGUGCCUUUUACUGAGGAGUGGCUUACAUCUGGCCACUUCACUAUGGAAGGUUCUCCCAUCUACACAGAGGAACUCUGGAGCUCUGUCAGAGUGACCAUCAGGUUCUUGGUCACCUCCUUGACCAAGGCCCUUCUCCCCCGAUUGCUCAGUUAGGCCAGGCGGACUGCUCUACGAAGAGUCUUGGUGGUUCCAAUCUUCUUCCAUUUGAGAAUGAUGGAGGCCACUGUGUUCUUGGGGACCUUCAAUGCUGCAGAUAUUUUUUGGUACCCUUCCCCUGAUCUGUGCCUCGACACAAUCCUGUCUCGGAGCUCUACGGACAAUUCCUUCGACCUCAGGGCUUGGUUUUUGUACACUAUCAACUGUUGGACCUUAUAAAGACCGGUGUGUGCCUUUCCUAAUCAUGUUAAGUUUACCACAGGUUGACUCUAAUCAAGUUGUAGAAACAUCAAGGAUGAUCAAUGGAAACAGAUUGCACCUGAGCUCAAUUUUGAGUCUCAUAUCAAAGAGUCUUAAUACUUAUGCAAAUAAGGCAUUUCUGUUUUUUAUUUGUAAUACAUUUGCAAAAAAUUCUCAAAACCAUUUUUUGCUUUGUCGUUAUGGUAUAUUGUGUGUAGAUUGAUGAGGGGAAAAAAUGUAACAAAUGUAACUAAUGCUGUAAUGUAACAAAAUGUGGAAAAAGUGAAAGGGUCUGGAAACUUUCAGAAUGCACUGUUUAGUACCUUCAGAAAGUAUUCACACCCCUUGACUUUUUCCACAUUUUGUUAUGUUACAAAGUGGGAUUAAAAUGGAUUUAAUUCAAAUUUUAACACUUAUAAAAAUCAUUUUUUUAAAUAAUAAAACACAAAUAUGUCUUGAUUAGAUAAGUAUUCAAGCCCCUGAGUCAAUACAUGUUAGAACCACCUUUGGCAGCGAUUACAGCUGUGAGUCUCUAGGUAAGUCUAAGAGCUUUCCACACAUGGAUUGUGCAACAUUUGCCCAUUAUUAUUUUCCAAAUUCUUCAAGCCCUGGUUGUUGAUCAUUGCUAGACAUCCAUUUUCAGGUCUUGCCAUAGUUUUUACUUAAAUCUGCUUCAGUCACUCAGGAACAUUCACUGUCUUCUUGGUAAGCAACUCCAGUGUAGAUUUGGCCUUGUGUUUUAGGUUAUUGUCCUGCUUAAAAGGUGAAUUAAUCUCCCAGUGUCUGGUGGAAAGCAGACUGAACCAGGUUUUCCUCUAGGAUUUUGCCUGUACUUGGCUUCAUUCUGUUUCUUUAUCAUGAAAAGUUCCCCAGUCCUCAACGAUUACAAUCAUACCCAUAACAUGAUGCAGCCACCACUAUGCUUGAAAAUAUAGAGACUGGUACAUUGUGUUGCAUUGGAUUUUCUCCAAACAUAACAUCUUGUAUUCAGGGCAAAAAGUGAAUAGCUUGUGAGAGCAAUUACAAGAUUGUUAUAAUACUUUUAUUCCAUCAAAUGGUUGUUUUAUGCAACAGAAGAGGGUUCUUAUAAAUAUAUUGUGUCUGCGUGAACUGAAAGUGGGCCUCUGGGAGAUUUAACACUGACAGGAGAUUUACAAUGUCUUUGGGUAAUACGCAUUCCAGAGCAUGAGUUAAUGUUUCUGUUUUAUAAGGUAUCAGAGAGAGAUGACUCCAGGACCAGUGUCACACCCUGACCAUCGUUUGCUUUGUAUGUUCUAUGUUUAGUUUGGUCAGGGUGUGAUCUGAGUGGGCAUUCUAUGUUGGAUGUCUUGUUUGUCUGUUUCUGUGUUUGGGCCUGAUAUGGUUCUCAAUCAGAGGCAGGUGUUAGUCAUUGUCUCUGAUUGGGAGCCAUAUUUAGGUAGCCUGUUUUGUGUUGGGUUUUGUGGUUGAUUAUUCCUGUCUCUGUGGUUGUUUGCACCAGAUAGGGCUGUUUCGGUUUUUCACGUUUUGUAUUGUUUGUCAUUAUCUUUAUUAAAGAUGUAUGAAGAUAACCACGCUGCAUUUUGGUCCUCCUCUCCUUCACCCUAACAACCAGAACCUGGUUUAUACACAAUGAGAACAGUUUUUACAGCAGAUAUUGUCUGCUGUGAAUAACUAUCUUUCAUUCAAAUCUUAACAUUCAAAUCUUGUUUGUCAUGUAGACUGAAGGGGAUGUAUCUUGGCUAUAAGACCUUUGUCUAUUUGUCUCAGGGCUCUCAACAAAUCAUCUGAGGGUGAUUCGUCGUCCAGCCAUCAUUAUCGUAGAGCUCUCAAUCGAUUCACUUUGUGUUUAGUAUUGACCUGCUCCCUUAUUAAGUGAAUAAAGAUUUAUUAUGUGAUAAGUUUGUCUCAUUUGAUAAAGAAAUUAACCACCACAUGCUUUCCCACAAUUUUUGCAGUAUUAAUUUAGUGCCUUGUUGCAAACACAUGUUUUGGAAUAUUUUUAUUCUGUACAGGCUUCCCUCUUUUCACUCUGUCAAUUAGGUUAGUAUUGUGGAGUACAAUGUUGUUGAUUAGGUUAGUAUUGUGGAGUACAAUGUUGUUGAUUAGGUUAGUAUUGUGGAGUACAAUGUUGUUGAUUAGGUUAGUAUUGUGGAGUACAAUGUUGUUGAUUAGGUUAGUAUUGUGGAGUACAAUGUUGUUGAUUAGGUUAGUAUUGUGGAGUACAAUGUUGUUGAUUAGGUUAGUAUUGUGGAGUACAAUGUUGUUGAUUAGGUUAGUAUUGUGGAGUACAAUGUUGUUGAUUAGGUUAGUAUUGUGGAGUACAAUGUUGUUGAUUAGGUUAGUAUUGUGGAGUACAAUGUUGUUGAUUAGGUUAGUAUUGUGGAGUACAAUGUUGUUGAUCAGGUUAGUAUUGUGGAGUACAAUGUUGUUGAUUAGGUUAGUAUUGUGGAGUACAAUGUUGUUGAUUAGGUUAGUAUUGUGGAGUACAAUGUUGUUGAUUAGGUUAGUAUUGUGGAGUACAAUGUUGUUGAUUAGGUUAGUAUUGUGGAGUACAAUGUUGUUGAUUAGGUUAGUAUUGUGGAGUACAAUGUUGUUGAUUAGGUUAGUAUUGUGGAGUACAAUGUUGUUGAACCAUCCUCCAUUUUCUUCUUUCACAGCCAUUCAACUCUGUAACUGUUUUAAAGUCACCAUUGGUGAAAUCCCUGACCGGUUUCCUUCCUCUCCGGCAUCUGAGUUAGGAAGGACUGCUGUAUCUUUGUGACUGGGUGUAUUGAUAGACCAUUCAAAAUGUAAUUAAUAACUUCACCAUGCUCAAAGGUAGGGUUGUCAAACUCAUUCCAUGGAGGGCCUAGUGUCUGCUGGUUUUUGUUUUAAAUUGAAACCUAGACAAGAGAGGAGCGAAAACCCACAGACACUCAAUUCUCAGUGGAACGAGUUUGACACGUGCUCAAAAUAUUAUUCAAUGUCUGUUUGAAAAAAACAUUUAAUACCUGG